rnacentral:lncRNA from 1 species
GACAUAAUCAAAGAUCAAGGACUUAACCACAAGACAACGACGAUGCCUCAGGUCAAAGGAUUACUUUGCAUUAUCCCAACCAUGAGUUCUCAUGUGACAUGAAUAUGAGAACUCUUUGUUGAUCGUGUUCAGUGAACUCAUUCUCUAUUGAGCACCUACGUACUUGUCUUGAUGUCACACACACCAAUGACUUGAGACUAGUCACUCUCCCUGAGAGAAGACACAGUACGUACGGAUCUUAACGGACUGUCAAUGCCCAAUUGGCAAUCCUAUGAUCAGGAACAUUUAGGAUGUGUCUACGAAAGAAUGGUCUCAUGAAUCUAACUUCAUUAGAUCGCAUUCUCCCAAUCACAUAUUCCUUGGACUUUAUCGUUUAAGCAUAUAACAUUUAUAUGAGACGGCUCAAACAAUAAUCUUUGCCUUUUAUAGUUAAACUAGAUUAGUUUAACAUGUGAAAUGCCCGUAAAGUAUCAUCAUAUGAUUGGCUUUAGGGCACAUUUCCAACAUUAGGUUCCUUUUAGCGAGGCAAUGGGCGAUUAAAACCAUUUCAAAUCGAUUGUGAAUUGAAACUUACUUUCAAUUCUCCCUUUAGUGAUUAUACACG